CGCUCACAGGGUCCUUGGCCACCGUGAAGAGGAGGUCUCCCUCGCGGUUGUACUUAAUCUGAGUAAUGGACCGCUCAUGGCCCUGCAGCAGGAUCGGCUUCUGUGGGGACAGGACGGCAGUGUCAGCGCCCAGAAUUGGCCCCUACCCCAGCCCGGACCCCCACGUCAACACCUUUAACACAAGAGAACUCACCAUCCCAGCGGUGACGCGAGGAAAGCAGCAACGUGAGUAGAACCGGAAGAGGCUUUGGCGCCACUUCCGGAUCACGAGUCUCCGCCCCCUUCAUUCCCGGAAGUGGAGAGGAGCGGCGUUGCCAUGGCGGCGACCCUGGGGCAGGUGCUGGCUCUGGUGCUGGUGGCAGCUCUGUGGGGCGGCACGCAGCCAUUGCUGAAGCGGGCCUCCUCCCGCCUGCGGCAGGUUCAUGAGCGGACCUGGGCCCGGCAGUUGCUGCAGGAAAUGAAAACCCUCUUCUUGAAUCCCGAGUACCUGAUGCCCUUUUCUCUCAACCAGUGUGGUUCCCUUCUCUAUUACCUCACCUUGGCAUCAACAGAUCUGACCCUAGCUGUGCCCAUCAGUAACUCUCUGGCCAUCAUCUUUACACUGAUUGUUGGGAAGGUCCUUGGAGAAGAUAUUGGUGGAAAACGAGCAUUUGCUGGCAUGGUGCUCACCGUGGCAGGAAUUACACUCUGCAUCACAAGCUCAGUGACCAAGACGCAAGGGCAACCGUCUGCACUUUGAUCCAAGGCCACCUCCAGCUCUGCUAUCUCCAGGAAACCCUUGGGCCAUGAGGAGCUUCAACAGUGCUUCCCAGUCCUCGCUGGCGGCCUGGGACAGCUUCAGGCUGAAUGGAGGACUUGACAGGUCCCCAUUCCUGAACACACUGGGACAAAGAGCAGCCUGGUAAGGGGAAUGGUCUCCAGAACUCCUUAAUUGUGAGAGAAUGAAGGAUGGCACUGGGGCCAGAAGACAGUCUGAGACUCGGUGCACGGGUCCCUCUUCACCCACAUCCUGUUUCCUUUGAGGACCACAGCCUGGAGAUAAAAGGUUGUGAAAGGCGCAGGGAACAGCAUUUUGAAAUCCUGCACCCCGGCAAGGCUAGCAGCUGGCUCCAGAGUAGGUGUGGAGAGCGGCAGAUCCUGCUGCUUCCAGGGCCCCUGACCACCCAGACCAAAGUGGGAGCCAUCCCAGGGGACGGGGAGAACAGAGGGCUGGGGGCUGGCCUGCCCCAGGACUCACUGCCAAUCUGCUGCUCUUCCCACCUGGAUCCUUCCCUCCAGGGGGUAAAUAGCUGAAAGGACAGAGAGGUCACAGGUCAUCUUGGAUGCUGUGAUCUCAGCAGCCCAGCAGCUGCCAGAGGGCAGGGCUGGGGCCCAGCUCACCAGGUCUCUCUUCCCAGUGAAACAGUCUCAAGUCAUCUCAGUCCAGAAACAGAUGCUGACACUUGAACCUGCCUUAGGCCUGUGUGUAUCAAGCUGCACAUCCAGUCUGGGGUCUCAGGCACAAACCACAUAAUUAAAGGUCAAAAUCCU